rnacentral:misc_RNA from 1 species
GAACGCACCUUGCACUCUUUGGUAUUCCGAAGAGUAUGUCUGUUUGAGUGUCAUGAAAUUCUCAACCCCCUUGUUUUGUAAUGAAACGAGCGUGGGCUUGGAUUAUGGCUGCUGCCGGCGUAAUUGUCGACUCGGCUGAAAUACACGAGCUACCCAUUUCUAAGAAAUAGACGGUUUGACUCGGCGUAAUAACAUAUUUCGCUGAGGACGUCACAUUCUUUAAACAUUAGUGGUGCUUCUAAUGCGACAUCUAAACCUAAGCUUUAGACCUCAAAUCAGUCAGGACUACCCGCUGAACUUA